rnacentral:lncRNA from 1 species
AGCUAUUUUAUAUGUAGAAGGUUCUCUUUAUAUCAGUGAUUCAUUCUUUCCCCACCCAAAAUCAUAAAACAAGAAGCUGAUAUAUAUUGUAGUCUGAAUUCCGAUUCUAGUGCUUGAACCGCUCGAUCUGCUAGACCGAUAAGGAUACAACCUUGUAUGUAGGUCUAUGGGCAUUGUAAAUACAUACAUAAAAUAGUGCUUGAUAAAGCUUAAAUAAAGCUUUUAGUACGUAAUUUGUGGUUUAUUCCGGAGUUCUAAUUAAAAUACACUCAACUAAGCGUAAACUUCUCUUGGAUCGACGUUCCAUAUACUCUGUCGAGUAAUGGAAUGGUUUAUGGCCUGCCGUUCACAACAUUACCCACUGAUUGGACCUCUCAUCAGGGAAAAGGUAGCUACUUUCGCUUUGUCUAUGGGUUUAAAUGACUUUGAAGUGUCUCAAGGACGCUGUUUUGUGUGGUGAAGGGGAGAUAGUUCAACCAAAGACUAUUGAAAAAUGAAAAAAGAAUCUGCAUUAUAUCUUGGAAGGCUAUAAAGCCAAAAAAUGUUUUCAAUUGUGACAAGACUUGACUUUUUUCCCAAUCAUUUCCAUGCCGGUCUUAAAUCCGCAAAAGCGAAGGUGUAAAAAAUGGGGAAAUGACCGAAGAUAGCAUCACAGUCAUGUUGGUAGCUUCCAUGUCAGGUGAGAAGCUGUGACAUUUAAUGAUAGGAAAAAAGUCAAAAUCCAAGAUGCUUCUAGCAAUGUUCCAGAAGUAUGAUGCAGGUAAAGUAUAAAGGCAA